AAGAAACAAGCUGCCUUGCGGGAAAUAUAUAAUUUUGUGCAAAUCAAAGAAGAGAGUCUCCCACAAGCUUGGGGGAGGCUUCUCCGAUUACUUAAUGCUUUGCCUGAUCAUCCUCUUAAGAAAAAUGAAAUACUUGAUAUCUUUUAUAAUGGACUAACCGAUGCUUCCAAGGACUACUUGGAUAGUUGUGCUGGUUGUGUUUUCAGGGAAAGAAUAGUCGACGAAGCUGAAUUACUAUUGAAUAAUAUGUUGACUAAUGAAAAUAAUUGGACUCUCCCUGAGCCAAUUCCUGAGGCAAUU
rnacentral:rRNA from 1 species